UAGAGUUAUUUAACUCCCAAACCCAUGUGAACUUACCAUUGUUGCCUCGGUGGAACUACCCUGUAGCUACCCUGUAGUUACCCUGUAGCGCCACCGGUGGAUAUUACAAACUCUUGUUAUAUAUUGUCAUCUGAGAGUCUUAUUUUAAUAAGUCA
rnacentral:misc_RNA from 1 species